UACGGAGGGUGCUAGCGUUACUCGGAAUCACUGGGCGUAAAGGGCGCGUAGGCGGCUAGGCAAGUCUGUGGUGAAAGCCCCGAGCUCAACCCUGGAAGGGCACUGGAAACUGCCUGGCUUGAGUUCCGGAGAGGAGGGGGGAAUUCCCGGUGUAGCGGUGAAAUGCGUAGAUAUCGGGAGGAAUACCGGUGGCGAAGGCGCCCCUCUGGACGGGUACUGACGCUGAGGCGCGAAAGCGUGGGGAGCAAACAGG
rnacentral:rRNA from 1 species